rfam:Glossina fuscipes fuscipes unplaced genomic scaffold Scaffold50, whole genome shotgun sequence.
AUGUAAUAUUGAAAGGAGAGCAAGUUAGCACUCCCCUAGACAAGGAUUGAAUCACAUAAAAGUAUUUUGUAGUAAUUUAAGUUUUCUUU